GGGGUUAUCGAGUUUUGUGUCUGUGUGAGAAAUCGGCGUAGGUAUUUAAAGCAGCUGUAAUCCGGACCCCGCUGGUUCAAGUCAACAGCCUGUGAACCCGCUGCCCCCAUACCCCAAAAACUAUGUCCGCUUCACACACACAUUUGCCCUGCGACUUAUUUUUUAUUUAUUUCACACAGGUUAAAUUUAGCCCCCUGUAGCCAGGCCGGGAACAGUCUCACACACAUAAAACACACAACUGUUCUCCCACACAAGGCAUACAGUAGUGAGAAAAGCAGCUGAGUGAUUGACUGUACUGUAAACAUGUGCUAGUGUUACUAAUUUAUUUAUCUACGCCAGUCUCAUAUAUCAUAGAUGGAGGGGGGGGUUAUCAGUUU
rnacentral:lncRNA from 1 species